UUCAGAUUGAACUUUUUCAUCUGGUGUUUAUUUCAAAAAGUAAAUAAAUGCAUUGUAUAAUUAAUUAUCCAUAAGAAGGUGUGAAUUAGGAUUACAAGUCUUCUUUUGUUAAAUCUUUCGCUCGCUUAGUUCUGACUGGCUUAUUAUUGAUAUUUCUCAUUAUUUAUAAUUCACUGGUUGAGAAGUGUAUUCUCUUUAGAGAUUCUACAUCUGAGGAAAAUGCUUAUCAGGUUAGAUAAGUCAGAAAAAAAAUGUGUGGAAAAUAUUAGAAUGUGAUGUUGUAACUGAUAAUUUGAUUCCAUGUGGGGUCUGUGAACUACAGUCUUAUCGGGAUAAAACUCUCAUGACUUUAUUACUCAUUUGACAGGAAGUUUUCUCUUCCUGAAAAUGUACAGUAUAACGUAUGUGAUGUGUGUAUUUAAAUUGACUAGCCAGUCUCAUCAUAUUAUUUGGCUACUUUGUGGAAAUUGUUUUAAUUAGAUUUGGAAAAAGAUUUUUAAAAAUUCUAAAAUUUUGAAUGUGAAAGGAUUGCUUUCAUUCUAAUUUCUUUUUUUAUCAUUGCAUUAUAAUACUCAUUCCAUGACUCUUUACUAAUUUUUUAAAUUUAUGUUACAUCGCUUACAAUCUUUUUAACCUGAAAACUAUAUGCACAUCAAGUAUACUUUGUGCAUGAAAGUUUUAUAUCAACUGGAAUUCUGUUUCACUCUGCAUAGAAUGCUGUAUAUUUAUAGCUGUUGGGGAGACCUUUUGAUAUUUCUCAUUAUUAUUUUGUUCUUUGAUGCUAAUGGAAUUAAAUAUAUUAUUUUUGUAUCAGGUGAUGCUUUUGGAGUUUGCUGAAGGAGUUUUCGAUGUAUUUUGAAUAUUAAGCAGUGAUGGGUACUUUUUGAUUUCACUUGAGAAUAUUCUGAUAUAUUUUGUAUAUUGAGGAGGGCCUCAAGGCAUGCAGAGAAUGUGCAAUUUCAAUAUCAUUAGGCCUGGAAGGAAUGACAGAUAGAGGAUUUUAU